rnacentral:rRNA from 1 species
UACGUAGGGUGCGAGCGUUAAUCGGAAUUACUGGGCGUAAAGCGUGCGCAGGCGGUUCGUUGUGUCUGAUGUGAAAGCCCCGGGCUUAACCUGGGAAUGGCAUUGGAAACUGGCGAGCUGGAGUGUGGCAGAGGGGGGUGGAAUUCCGCGUGUAGCAGUGAAAUGCGUAGAGAUGCGGAGGAACACCGAUGGCGAAGGCAGCCACCUGGGCUGACACUGACGCUCAGGCACGAAAGCGUGGGGAGCAAACAGG